GUAAAUGGCAUUCAAUGCUGUAUUCUGGGAAGAUCAUCCCCAUCCAAGAACACAACAGCUUUACAACAAUGAGGGGAAAAAUACAAACRUGGCAUCGGUUUCAUCAGGUCCAUGCUCAUCUCGUGACAGACACAGUGUGUGACGUCACAUGUUGCGUGACGUCUCGUGAUGUGUGACGUCAGGUAUGGUGUGACGUCACAUGUUUAUAACGUGCCUGUAUCAACAUUAACGUACAAAGUUUACAAGUUGAAUACCAAGACGUGGGAAUACAAGCAUUACAUARAGGAUUCAACGUCCAGAUUCUCUCCGUUCUUUUUGUACCAGCAAUCGUUUAAGAGAAGAAAACUUCAUUAUCAAGAAUUUUUUAAAGCUUCCUGGUCAAUUUCCAAUUCAUUAGACUCAACCUGAUUUCAGCUACACUGCGCAAUUGGGGAAGACGCAACUAUUUGUGCAUAUAGUUUCUAUGGUAACGUGGACACAACUUUCUAAAUAUAAUGCUAAAAGCUGUGUAUGAAUGGUCCAAAAGACUGGCCAGAACUGGAAACUGUAGUCAUAUGUAUGAUGAACAUGUUGCUAUUUAUAUCAAGAACCUGGACGUCGUUGUGUUUCUGUAAUGUCCAGGAAUUUACUGGAAAAACAGUGUUCAAGAUGAACCGCUGUACAAGAAAUCUUUUGCUAUUUAUUCCAAGGGCCUGGUCCUGUCAGAGGUUAUGUGAUUUCAACGAAGAAUCUGGAAUAACAGUGUUCAAAGCCUCCCGGGAAUUAGAAUUGUUCUAGCUCGUGUAUAUAAGCUCCAUGACCACUUGUAACUUUUAGCAUGAUUAUGAUUUUGCAAUAAAAUCGAAAUAUAGCUGUCAUUACGAUCUUCUGUACAUAAUUCAAAAGUUGAAUUUGCACAGUAUGCUUUCCAUCCUUGGAUUAUCACUCGUCUUACUAUAUGCCAAUUGUCGGAUGGUUCUGUUUUUUUAGUGUUCAAGGUGUAUAUGGAAUGUGACCAAUACAAUAAUAUUGAGGAAAUGAGGAAAGGCUUUGUAUUCUCAUUAACCUAUUUUCCUUCUCUAUUCAAACUUUUCUUUCCUGAAUCAUCAAUGUUUGUUGUACCAUUUGUAAAAUCUUUCUUUUUUUUAAUUUUGUUUCUUCUUUCUACUGUGCAUUUUCUGAUUAAACAAAUCUAUUUUCAC